GGGUUGUGAGGUUAAGCGACUAAGCGUACACGGUGGAUGCCCUGGCAGUCAGAGGCGAUGAAGGGCGUGCUAAUCUGCGAUAAGCGCCGGUAAGGUGAUAUGAACCGUUAUAACCGGCGAUACCCGAAUGGGGAAACCCAGUGUGACUCGUCACACUAUCAUUAACUGAAUCCAUAGGUUAAUGAGGCGAACCGGGGGAACUGAAACAUCUAAGUACCCCGAGGAAAAGAAAUCAACCGAGAUUCCCCCAGUAGCGGCGAGCGAACGGGGAGGAGCCCAGAGCCUGAAUCAGCAUGUGUGUUAGUGGAAGCGUCUGGAAAGGCGCGCGAUACAGGGUGACAGCCCCGUACACAAAAGCGCAUGUGCUGUGAGCUCGAUGAGUAGGGCGGGACACGUGGUAUCCUGUCUGAAUAUGGGGGGACCAUCCUCCAAGGCUAAAUACUCCUGACUGACCGAUAGUGAACCAGUACCGUGAGGGAAAGGCGAAAAGAACCCCGGCGAGGGGAGUGAAAAAGAACCUGAAACCGUGUACGUACAAGCAGUGGGAGCACAGGUUUACCUGUGUGACUGCGUACCUUUUGUAUAAUGGGUCAGCGACUUAUAUUCUGUAGCAAGGUUAACCGUAUAGGGGAGCCG
rnacentral:rRNA from 2 species